GAUUAACGCUGGCGGCGUGCCUAACACAUGCAAGUCGAGCGAUCUUCUUCGGAAGAGAGCGGCGGACGGGUGAGUAACGCGUGGGUAACCUGCCUCAUACACAUGGAUAACAUACCGAAAGGUAUGCUAAUACAAGAUGAUAUAAGAGAUUCGCAUGGAUUUCUUAUCCAAGAUCCGGCGGUAUGAGAUGGACCCGCGUCUGAUUAGCUAGUUGGUAAGGUAACGGCUUACCAAGGCGACGAGCAGUAGCCGACCUGGGAGGGUGAUCGGCCACAUUUGAACUGAGACACGGUCCAAACUCCUACGGGAGGCAGCAGUGGGGAAUAUUGCACAAUGGGCGAAAGCCUGAUGCAGCAACGCCGCGUGAGCGAUGAAGGCCUUCGGGUCGUAAGGCUCUGUCCUCAAGGAAGAUAAUGACGGUACUUGAGGAGGAAGCCCCGGCUAACUACGUGCCAGCCGCCGCCGUAAAAC
rnacentral:rRNA from 1 species